rnacentral:rRNA from 1 species
AGUGAACGCUGGCGGUAGGCCUAACACAUGCAAGUCGAACGGCAGCACAGUAAGAGCUUGCUCUUACGGGUGGCGAGUGGCGGACGGGUGAGGAAUACAUCGGAAUCUACUUUUUCGUGGGGGAUAACGUAGGGAAACUUACUCUAAUACCGCAUACGACCUACGGGGGAAAGCAGGGGAUCUUCGGACCUUGCGCGAUUGAAUGAGCCGAUGUCGGAUUAGCUAGUUGGCGGGGUAAAGGCCCACCAAGGCGACGAUCCGUAGCUGGUCGGAGAGGAGGGUCGGCCACCUGGGAACGUGAACACGGACAAGAGUACUACGGGAGGCAGCAGUGUGGAAUAUUAGACAACGGGCGCAAGCAUGAUCCAGCCAUCCCGCGUGUGUGAAGAAGGCGUUCGGGGUGUAAAGCCCUUUUUUUGGGAAAGAAAAGCAGCAGGUUAAUACCACGCUGUUCUGACGGUACCCAAAGAAUAAGCACCGGCUAACUUCGUG